AGUCGAGCGAUGAAACUUUAACAGAACCCUUCGGGGCGAAGAUAGAGCGGAUUAGCGGCGGACGGGUGAGUAACACGUGAGUAACCUGCCUUAGACAUUGGGAUAGCCUCGGGAAACCGGGAUUAAUACCAAAUAAAAUCAUAAUGACACAUGUCAUAACGAUCAAAACUCCGGUGGUCUAAGAUGGACUCGCGUCCCAUUAGCUAGUUGGUAGAGUAAAAGCCUACCAAGGCGACGAUGGGUAGCCGGCCUGAGAGGGUGAACGGCCACAUUGGAACUGAGAAACGGUCCAAACUCCUACGGGAGGCAGCAGUGGGGAAUAUUGCACAAUGGAGGGAACUCUGAUGCAGCGACGCCGCGUGAACGAAGAAGGCUUUCGAGUCGUAAAGUUCUUUUAUACGGGAAGAUAAUGACGGUACCAUAAGAAAAAGCCCCGGCUAACUACGUGCCAGCAGCCGCGGUAAUACGUAGGGGGCUAGCGUUGUCCGGAAUCACUGGGCGUAAAGGGUUCGCAGGCGGAAAUGCAAGUCAGAUGUAAAAGGCAGUAGCUUAACUACUGUAAGCAUUUGAAACUGCAUAUCUUGAGAAGAGUAGAGGUAAGUGGAAUUUUUAGUGUAGCGGUGAAAUGCGUAGAUAUUAAAAAGAAUACCGGUGGCGAAGGCGACUUAC
rnacentral:rRNA from 2 species